AAAGUUGUUUCAUAAAAAUACAUUCAGCCGUUCUUGCAUUAUAGUUAAACACAUACUAUCAAUCAUUUCAGAUUUAUAAUAUAUAUAGAUAAUACAGAGUGUCCACAUACAGAGUCCCUAAUUUAAAAAUGAAUAGCAUUGAAACUAAUGCUUGUUAUAAGGUUUAAUUGCAUGAAUAUGAAAGGAAAACUCAAAAAAUACAUGAAAAAAUUAGUAGACUUCCACAAGAGUGGUAUUUGUGGCUUGAAGAAUGUCCAAACAGAAUUUGAUUUCAUGUCAUGUCCUUUGCGGCAUUUCCAGUGUCACAGUCACAGUGACUCAAUUUGAUCCAUCAUAGUAGUGUCUGCAUGUGUGACACUUUUGUAGCAUACAUACGUUUUUUAAAAAAGUCUAAAGGGCUGAUAUCCAGAGAUCUUUGGGCCAUGCAAUUGGACUUCUGUGGCCAAUCCAACAUUCUGAGAAGACUCUGUCCAAAGUUUUUCAUACAACUUUGCUCCACUGUGGAGAGGCACCAUCUUGUUGAAAGAUGUCUGGGUGCAAAUACUGCACCUGUGAAAAUACAUAUUAUUCAUUGUUCUGAGUAGAUAUCAUUUUCCCCUAUCCCAACUGUAGUGCUACCUAUGCAAACUAUUUCAGUUGGCAAAAAAUGGGUGUAUAAACUUGGAGGGUUUCUGCAAUUGAUACAAGUGAUGCCACAUUUUGCUAAUUGAAAUAGCUGUGAGUGUGCAGGACUGAAAAAUCAAGAAUAUAAGGAAAUUUAUGUAAGGAUUUAUGUUUAUUGUGAUUGAAAUGUGCUCUUUCAUACUUUUGCAAUGCAAGUUCCUAUAAUUUCAAUGAGAGACAUUAAUAUUCAUAACAUUAUUAAAAAUUUUAAUAUUUAUAUAAAUUGCAAUAUUUUUUUUAUUUUUUAAGUUAUCUUGCUAAAAUAUUCAGUCUGUCUUCUUUUACCAUCUUUUCU
rnacentral:lncRNA from 1 species